GACAGAGGGUGCAAACGUUGUUCGGAAUUACUGGGCGUAAAGCGUGUGUAGGCGGCCACGUAAGUCGGGUGUGAAAUCCCCGGGCUCAACCUGGGAACUGCAUUCGAGACUGCCUUGCUCGAGUAUGGGAGAGGGAAGUGGAAUUUCCGGUGUAGCGGUGAAAUGCGUAGAUAUCGGAAGGAACAUCAGUGGCGAAGGCGACUUCCUGGACCAAUACUGACACUCAGGUGCGAAAGCGUGGGGAGCAAACAGG
rnacentral:rRNA from 1 species